UAAUCUCAUCAAAUGACCCAGCCAGUAACACAACCUUCCCUGUUUCAGUAACAAUCAUUUUGCCCUCAAUAAUCAACACUGGAAUAUUAUGAUCCCCACAAAUCCCAUUUUCUAAAUCAUAUCCCAAACAAUUCCAAGUUUGAUAUCCCUUCAUAUAACCUCCAAUAAAUCACCUACUUCCUCACCACGGCCUUUGCCCUUUUAUUGUUAAUAAUGUAACUCGGAGACUGAUGCACCAUCACAUAAAAACUCACAUUUCUCCCAAUUUGCUUCCUGUCCCGUUAUAAAUCCAAAUCCAAACUCAUAAAGACUGGAAGGCUGACUGACGUUCACAUAAACUAAUCACCUUCCGAGUUCCCAUUUGAGCGACAGGCACUGCAGCCAAUGACAGCAGGGGUCAGUGUUACGUCUGAGCUACGAUAGGCUGGAGGAAAUCGGCCCAUGACCAGCCCCUCCUCUUCCGCUCCAUCGCCAUGGCGGAGAUCAGCGAGUCGCUUCUGUCGGUGUCGCCGGCCUCGGCGCCCACAAGGACGGUUGUGAUUCCCCUUCGCGCCUCGGUGGGUCUGUUUCGGGGACGUCUGUGGUGGCUGACGAAACAUGCUUUGACAGGGAGCGAGCGAGGACCAAUGACUACAACUCCCAGAAGGCCCCACUGAUGACGUUGUGGUGUUGUUUCGGGCUUUCCCACCACAGAUGUAAGGCUCAAUGGUCUAUAAUUAUCUGGACUAUCCCUACUACCCUUUUUGAACAAGGGGACAACAUUCGCCUCCCUCCAAUACUCCGGUACAAUUCCCGUGGACAAUGGGGACAUAAUGAUCUUCGCCAGAGGCUCAGCAAUCUAUUUCCUUGCCUCGGAUGCAGAACUGGGAAGCGCAGAUGGAGUUCAACACAGAUGAAGAGGUUCAUUUCUGCAGGUCAAAUUUGAACACAGAAUAUAAUAUUAAUGGGACAUUACUCCUGACAUUGGUCCCAAGACCCAGCCUGUUUACAGAACCGGAGCGGAACUGGAGCAGAUUCUUUGACACUUGUUUUCAUCGCAAAUCCAGAAGACAGUUUAACGUUUUUUCGUGAAUUUAUUCUGAGUGAAGGUGUGGAGAUGGGAGUUGGUCUCCGCGUUGUAAAAUGAAUCUGUCCCGGACUCGUAACUGAGAUAAAUUCCCACCCUCCCGGGGUUGGGACAGGCAGCGAGUCGGGGUUCAGGGGAGGUGGCAACACUGAACAAAUCAUAAUUCAAGUCCGAUAACCCCUGUCCGAUGACCCAGAUCAGCCAGAUAGUGGCGUCUGUGUCCACAGGACACUCGAAGCUGCUGCGUCGGUUGAGAGUGUUGUUAAGAAGCCGUAUGGCGUACUGGGCUUCAUCAACUGUGGGAUUGAUUUCAAGAGCUGUGAGGUAAUGUUACAGAGGAACAACGCCUUAGUUAGACCACACCUGGAGUACUGUGUCCAAUUCUGGUUACCUCACUACGGGAAGGAUGUGGAUACUAUACAGCGAGUGCAGAGGAGAUUUACAAGGGUGUUGCCUGGAUUAAAGAGCAUGCCUUAUGAAAACAGGCAGAGUGAACUUGGCCUUUACUCCUUGGAGUGCCGGAGGGUGAGGGAUGACCUGAUACACGUGUAUAAAAUGAUAAGAGGCACUGAUCGUGUGGAUUGCCAGAGGCUAUUUCCCAGGGAUGAAAUGGCUAACACGUGGGGGCACAGUUUUAAGGUGCUUGGAAGUAGGUACAGAGGGGGUUUCAGAGGUAAGUGUUUCACACAGAAAGUGGUGGUGCAUGGAAUGCAUGGCGAAGGUGGCAGAGGUGGAUAGAACAGGGCCUUUUAAGAGACUCUUAGUUAGGUACAUGGAGCUUAGAAAAAUAGAGGGCUAUGCGGUAGGGAAGUUCUUGACAGUUUCUAGAGUAUGUGACAUGGUCAGCACAUCAUUGAGGGCCGAAAGGCCUGUAAUGUGGUGUAGAAAUUUUGUUCACUGCCAACGGCGAGAUACCGAACAGUGUUGCAGAGAGACAGUUCUUGGGAUGCAAGUUCACAGCUCGUUGGAUGUGGCGAAACAGGUCGAUUAGGUGGUGAAGGAGGCUUAUAGAAUACCGGCUUUUAUUCGUGAAGCGCUGAGUUCAAAAUCCAGGAGGUUAUAUUGUAAUUUAUAACACUCUGGUCAAACCAUGUCCGGAGUAUUUAUCUGAGGCUUCUGUGGUGCAUAUCUGGACAGUUCGGACGCAACAUCCAUGGUCGACCCUCUCCGACGGAGGCCUCACAAACUCACACUGAGAAAUAUACAAAUAACCAAUGUCCCAGCAUCCGACCCUGCGGUACAGCACUUGUUCCAAAUUUCCCUCAGAACAGAGAUGAGGAGGAAUUUAUUCAGAGUGGGGUGGUGAAUGUGAGGCAUUAAUUGCCCUAAUUCCUGCUGUCGGUAGUUGCCGGCCUCUGCGUCCAGAACGACAGGCGUGGUUCUCCUCCGACAUCACGGUGAAUCUGUUCCAACAGAUGUUUGUGAUGGCUGAGGAAUAGUGUUGACGCAGGGAGCGAGUGAGAAGCUGAGACAUUAGGACUACAACACCCAGUAGGCUCCGCGGCCCCGUAUGU